CUGGAUCUUCCUGGAAGUCAGCAUAGCCUGGAACCAUUUGGGUUCCCUCUGCUGGUAGAAUGCACAGCAGCAGUGUUAAUGGCAGUUUGGUGGUUAUGUCAAGGAAGAGGAUUAUGUGAAUUAUGCCGCCAAGCUGCGCUCUGCCCUGGGGAGCGAGGCAGCCUACCGCAAGGACUUCUACUUGUGUAAUGGCUACGACCCCCCCAUGAAACCGUACUGGCGACACAACGAAGUCUGGUUUGUGAAGGAGUGAGCCACUGGCUUGCAAAGGUGUAUGGUGAGGCUGAUGUCUUCUCCAGCUUGUUGUAUGUAGGUGGAGUCCUUGCCCUGUUCCAAACAAAACCGCAGGCUCGCAGAGUCAAAAAAGAAGGGGUCUCAGUUAUUAACAAAAAUAUAAUUAAAAAAUAAUACAACGUGAACCCUCCCCAACAAAGCCUUCUGCCAGGAUUAUCUCCUUGUAGGAUCCCCUGGCUUUAGGAUCUGACUCUUUCAGGUACUAGUGCUCUUCCUGUUGCCUAGACUCCCUUAUUCUCAGGUGGGGAAAUGAGCCAGCUGCACCAAGGAGUUUGCAAAAUCAGCACUCGUUAACGGGUGGGUGUUGCUUGCAUUCACUGGCAGCCUGUUAUGCUCCUCUGAAACUAGAAAGAGAUGCCUAUUGUCAACCAAAGUCUUUAUAACAUGUGGCUUUUCCAUUCUGAUGGGGUGUUACGAUAGCUUAAUUCCAUGCUACACUGAUGUUUAUCUGUUCCAUUGUGAAAGAGUACAAAGGGGUUAGAUUGCUGCUGCUGAGACGCUGUGCAGUGAAGAUAGCAUCAUCUCCAUUUCCUAGUAGUGCACAAGGGAACAGCAUGUCAACAAUCUGAUUCAGAAACCUGCUCAAGAGGAAGAGCCAAGAUUAUUUGUACAGCUUCCUGACUAGGAGAUGGAGCUCUUCAGUGUAAACUACUGACCUGUUGCCAUUAAUCACUGGAUAAUGUACGAUAAAAUCUUGUGACUAUU